rnacentral:other from 1 species
GUCCCUCUGCGGGGCGCGUGAGACGGAACGAGAAUCCCUGACUGGGUCGAACAGGGGGUCAUCCCUCAUCCGUGGUGAGCCAGCCCGGCUUCAUUCUCCGGGAAGCCUGAAGCGGAUGACACCGGCCCCCACCUACGAAUGAGUAGGGGUUCGGCUUCCAAUCAUCCACGGCCCAUGCGGUAAGGAC